GGAGGAAUACUCAAAUGGUAAAGAGGCAUGUUUGGAAAAUAUGUAGGUCUUAAAAAAGAUGCGAGGGUUCGAAUCCCUCUUCCUCCGCCA
rnacentral:tRNA from 2 species